CAUGUCUAGUAUAGCAUUAUACAGCGAAACUGCGAAUGGCUCAUUAUAUAAGUUAUCGUUUAUUUGAUAGUACCUUACUACUUGGAUAACCGUGGUAAUUCUAGAGCUAAUACAUGCUAAAAAUCCCGACUUCGGAAGGGAUGUAUUUAUUAGAUUAAAAACCAAUGCCCUCCGGGGCUCACUGGUGAUUCAUGAUAACUUCUCGAAUCGCAUGGCCUUGCGCCGGCGAUGGUUCAUUCAAAUUUCUUCCCUAUCAACUUUCGAUGUUUGGGUAUUGGCCAAACAUGGUUGCAACGGGUAACGGAGGGUUAGGGCUCGACCCCGGAGAAGGAGCCUGAGAAACGGCUACUACAUCCAAGGAAGGCAGCAGGCGCGCAAAUUACCCAAUCCCGACUCGGGGAGGUAGUGACAAUAAAUACUGAUACAGGGCUCUUUUGGGUCUUGUAAUUGGAAUGAGUACAAUUUAAAUCCCUUAACGAGGAACAAUUGGAGGGCAAGUCUGGUGCCAGCAGCCGCGGUAAUUCCAGCUCCAAUAGCGUAUAUUAAAGUUGUUGUGGUUAAAAAGCUCGUAGUUGAACCUUGGGCCUGGCUGGCCGGUCCGCCUCACCGCGUGUACUGGUCCGGCCGGGCCUUUCCCUCUGUGGAACCCCAUGCCCUUCACUGGGUGUGGCGGGGAAACAGGACUUUUACUGUGAAAAAAUUAGAGUGCUCCAGGCAGGCCUAUGCUCGAAUACAUUAGCAUGGAAUAAUAGAAUAGGACGUGUGGUUCUAUUUUGUUGGUUUCUAGGACCGCCGUAAUGAUUAAUAGGGACAGUCGGGGGCAUCAGUAUUCAAUUGUCAGAGGUGAAAUUCUUGGAUUUAUUGAAGACUAACUACUGCGAAAGCAUUUGCCAAGGAUGUUUUCAUUAAUCAGGAACGAAAGUUAGGGGAUCGAAGACGAUCAGAUACCGUCGUAGUCUUAACCAUAAACUAUGCCGACUAGGGAUCGGACGAUGUUAUAUUUUGACUCGUUCGGCACCUUACGAGAAAUCAAAGUGCUU
rnacentral:rRNA from 1 species